UACGGGGGGGCAAGCGUUGUUCGGAAUUACUGGGCGUAAAGGGCUCGUAGGCGGCCAACUAAGUCAGACGUGAAAUCCCUCGGCUUAACCGGGGAACUGCGUCUGAUACUGGAUGGCUUGAGUUUGGGAGAGGGAUGCGGAAUUCCAGGUGUAGCGGUGAAAUGCGUAGAUAUCUGGAGGAACACCGGUGGCGAAGGCGGC
rnacentral:rRNA from 1 species